GGCACAGUGGCGGAGUGGUCUAACGCGUGUGACUCGAAUGGUGCAAUUUCCAAUCAUUAAAUUCGAACAUCUUAAGUCGAGUGAAGGAAAUACCCUAAAAGUGAUCACAUCUCUUCGGAGGCGCCCGUUCGAAUCGGGCCUGUGUCG